AAACCGAGUCUUAACUGGGCGGAUAGUUGCAAGGUAUAGACCCGAAACCCGGUGAUCUAGCCAUGGGCAGGUUGAAGGUUGGGUAACACUAACUGGAGGACCGAACCGACUAAUGUUGAAAAAUUAGUGGAUGACUUGUGGCUGGGGGUGAAAGGCCAAUCAAACCGGGAGAUAGCUGGUUCUCCCCGAAAUCUAUUUAGGUAGAGCCUUAUGUGAAUACCUUCGGGGGUAGAGCACUGUUUCGGCUAGGGGUCC
rnacentral:rRNA from 1 species